rnacentral:rRNA from 1 species
GACGAACGCUGGCGGCGUGCUUAACACAUGCAAGUCGAACGAGUGGCGAACGGGUGAGUAAUACGUGAGUAACCUGCCCUCUUUUUGGGAUAAGCCUUGGAAACGGGGUCUAAUACCGGAUAAAGGGGGAUGGGCGCGCGGCCUAUCAGCUUGUUGGUGGGGUGAUGGCCUACCAAGGCGGUGACGGGUAGCCGGCCUGAGAGGGUGACCGGCAACAUUGGGACUGAGAUACGGCCUAGACUCCUACGGGAGGAAGAAGUGGGGAAUAUGGGACAAUGGGCGAAGGAGUGAUGCCGCGACUCCGCGUGGGGGAUGAGGGCUUUCGAGUUGUUAACCUCUUGAGGUAGGGAACGGGUAGGUGGAGAAGAAGCGCCGGCUAACUACGUGCCAGCAGCCGCGGUAAUUC